rnacentral:lncRNA from 1 species
AUCUGGAACAAAGCAAGUCCCAGAUCCAGGCUUGUUGGCACACACCUUCUGCUGGAGCCCUACAUAAGGACAUUGGAAGAAGGAAGAUAUAUGCUCUCUUCUUCACCUGCUUGCCUGUGGGGCUGAGCAACUGCUAGAUCCUUGGACUUCCAUUCACAGCUGCUGCUGACCAUUGUUGGGAGUUGGACUACAGACCUAAGUCAUCAACAGAUUUCCUUACUAUAUACAGACUACCCGUAAGUUCUGUGACUCUAGAGAGCCCUGAUUAUUACAGGCACAUACAGAUUUUAUUUUUUUAUUAUUUUUUUUAGAUACGGUUUUUCUGUGUAGCUGGUUGUCGUGAACUCAUUCUGUAGAUCAGACUAGCCUCAAAUUCAGAGAUCCACCUGCCUUUGCCUCUGGAGUUCUGGGAUCAAAGGUGUUCACUACCACUACCUGGCGAUUUGAUUUUAGCUUAAAUCUACAUAGACAGAAUAGUUAGAAUUGCACACCUAGUGCAGGGGAAGAGAGGUGACCAGAUGUUGCCACAGCUUGCCAGCUCCAUAGAGAGUGUCUGUAGUGCAGAAUACACUUGGCAUAGUGUUCAGCUCUUCUCUCAGGAUGGAAGCUAAGCAUGUGUCCACAACACUGUGUGUGUGGAUGUUUAUAGUGGCCUAGUCAUGCAGCCAGAGAUAAGAGAAGCUCAAGUGUCUGUCCACGGGGAAAGUCACCCAACGGAAUCCUGUUAAGCUGUAAAAGGAAGCAGUGAAUGAGAAAGGUGACAGUCACGUGGAUGGGGCAGACUUGCUGUGUAAGAGACCAGAGCAUGCACUUUGUCUUUUUCUCUGAAACUUGGGAACUAGAACAAGAGAAAUCAGACGGCUGUUGCUUGAGGCUGGGGUGGAGAAAAAGACCCAUCUAGAAUGGUAAGCGUAGCUUGUAUGUUGUAGUGCACCACCUGUUUGGUGUGCGUCAGUUGUCAGGAAGUGGACCCACCUUGUGUAUAAGCGGUCCUUGUGCCCGCCGGUGUUGGUUGCUUUAUGUAAAGUAGAAAGCAGCCUUUCUUGGUGGACCGCAUCCGUCCCCAGCUUAUACACGUGGCCUCAGUUAAAUCUUAAAGUUACCCAAAUUAAUAUUUGUGGCACUUGGUUUGGGGACAUUUUUGGGACCCGAAGGGUGUAUUACUCUGCAUAAUCUCCAACUGGUCUCAGCAGUUCUGGGCACUCCAUACUGUCUUCCCCUUUUCUGAUAACAGAGCUUCGGGACAUGUUUUUUAUGGGCAGAUGAUUUUUGAGCUUCUGAGAAUUUUAGAACAGAUUCUGGUUUCCAGAAAUACUGUUUGAAAUUGUUUGGAAUCUUUUCCUUUGUAGGAUUUCAAAAUGAAUGCACUCCUAUGUCUGGGUUGUAUUGUUUGUUGUUUUGCUUUUCUUGCCUAUUAAUUCCGUGUCUGAGUCACUGAGUUUUUACUUUUCUGGUUAGGUUGACUUAUAGUUAAUGUGACUUGGCCUGAUAUUUUUCAAAAGACUUACACAGAUAUGUAGUGUAUUUGUGAAUAUUUAUAUUUUGUUAAUCACUGGAUUUUACUUGUUUACUAUUAAUAGACUCUAGUGUUUACCACCAGCUCCUUAGAAAGCUCCAGGGUUAGACUAGACUUCUCAGAGGUCCCUGUGAUGAUGGCCAAAAAGGACAGGGAGUUUCCAUCUCAGGUCGGGUCCGGUGGGAGACUGCAGCGGGUUCUCCUUGAUCGAAGUGUUCUCACAGUACUCGUGAUUACAGGGUCAUAAAACAAACCAUGCUUUGUAUGCACACUGGAAGUUGUUGUUUUGUUUUGUUUUUCCUUCAAAACAGGGUUUCUCUGUGUAGCCCUGGCUGUCCUGGAACUCACUUUGUAGACCAGGCUGGCCUCGAACUCAGAAAUCUGCCUGCCUCUGCCUCCCAAGUGCUGGGAUUAAAGACGUGCGCCACCACUGCCCAGCACACUGGAAGUUUUUACAAGCCUUAGUACUGCCCUUGUAAAUUUGAUAUUGCUGUCUUAGGUAUAUUGUGAAGAAAUCUAGAUUGUCCUGUGCUUUUUACUCUAUAUUUUUUAUUGUAUGAUAUAGAAUACAUUUCAAAAUUUAUCACCUUAGCACAUGGUUACGCUUAUCUUUAUUUUUGUUGCAACAACAUAAAGAACAUUACUUACUAUGACAAAGGUUACAUGCAUUUAUUUAGCUUUUUUUUAACCUUUUUGUUUUGUAUUUGAGUCGGUGUCUCACUCUGUAACCCUAGCUUGGCCUGGAACUCACAGAGCUCCUUCCUCUGCCUCCCAGCCCUGAGGCUCCUGCCCGUUCUUGCGUGGCAGGGGAGAUGAGUGAGUACACGCUCUAAAAAUCUCUUUUUUAAAAUUUAAAUCUCUUCUCAAUUACUCUCCAGUGUUGCUGGUCAGAGCUUGUGCACUGUUUGGCUCUUCCAUGCCUUUUCUUGCCAUCACAGCUUCUUCCAGCUUGGGGUGGGCUUCUGUCCAGUCCCCCUCCCCUUUCUCCUAUUAGAGCAGUUCUAUUUGCUUGGUUUUUUUGAGAUAGGGUUUCAUGGUUUCUGGUUCCAUUCCCUAUGUGGCUGUGGUUGGCCUUGAGUGCCUGAUGCUCUUGCUUCUACCUCCCCGUUGCUGGGAUCACAAGAGCAUCCCACCUUGUUUGCUUAGCAGUGAGACUCCUGAAGGGUGUACUUAGGUGUACAAUAAAGGUGCUUACUUCACAGUUGUUAUUUGAAAUGUAAUUUGCUCACACAGGGAGUAAUAAAUUUGGAGUGUCUCAGGAGAGAAAGCCUGGGAUUUUCUGACAGGCAGUUUUGCUCUAUUACUGUCUCCACUCUGUACUGUGUGACCAGAUAUGUGUAGAGUCCUGCAAGAACACCGAGUGGCUUCUGUCUGUAUUUUAUAGUUUCUUAGUUCACUCCUUAGGCAAAGCAAACACAGUAAUCCAGGGCCUGAGGUCCAGACAGCCCAUGGACCCAGAACAGAUUCCCUAUCUGGUUUAUGCCUCCAGCUGUUACCGUUGCCUCUACAGCACUGGCUCCCGUCUUUCCAUCGCUGCGACCCUCUAAUACGGUUCCUCUUGCUGUGGUGACCCUCAGCUGUAAGAUUAUCUUCACUGCUACUUCAUAGCUAUGAUUUUGCAUAAGUAUCAGUAUUUUCUGAUGGUGUUAGGCAACCUCUGUGAAAGGGCUGUUGGACCACUGUGGAAUGGUUGGCCCUACCUCAGCCUGAUAACCCUAUGAUGGUAAACGUGUUUUGUUCUCUGCUCUUGUCCUGAAGAGCCAACCAGGGUGCAGGAUACAGUAGAUUAGUUGUGUAUGCUUCUCUAACAAACCUGAACUCCAGUAAAUCACACUUUUCUGCUCCAGGCUCAUAAGAGUUGUUUUGGUACCAUCUUUCUUUCUUUCUUUCUUUCUUUCUUUCUUUCUUUCUUUCUUUCUUUCUUUCUUUCUUUCUCUCUCUCUCUCUCUCUCUCUCUCUCUCUUUCUUUCUUUCUUUCUUUUAAUUUUAAAAAAAUUUUUAUGUCUGUGGGUACACUGUAGCUGUCUUCAGACACCCCAGAAGAGGGCAUCAGACCCCAUUACAGAUGGUUGUGAGCCACCAUGUGGUUGCUGGGAAUUGAACUCAGGACCUUUGGAAGAGCAGCCAGUGCUCGCAAGUGCUGAGCCAUCUCUCCAGUCCGGGACCAUGUUUCUAAUAGGCCUUUUUGUUCACUUGUCUGCUUUGAUUUUGAAAUAGGGCCUGCCCUGUACUCUAGAUGUACCUACGACUUGCCACUCUCCUGCCUAAGCCUCUGGAUUGCUAGGAUUCCAGUUCUACACCACCUCACCUGGCCUGGAAGGUGGAUUUUAGAAAACUGUCAAAGAUGAACAAACUUUAAAGAAAUCCAGAGUUAGAAAACCAGAUUAAUCAGGGCUGAUUUAUUCAUUUUAUGUUGGUGUAUGUUCAAUUUUAUACACUCAAUUACACAUUCAAUUCUAUCAAAGAACCAGUUAUACUAAUGAUUUCUUAAAUGAAUAUUUUCCAAACCUUGUUUAAACUCUUUGAGUUACAAAAGUUGAAUCUGCAUAUAAUCUUUCAGUUUGUCAAAUGAGCUGUGAGUUUUCAGGAAAUCUAUCCAUUUGCUAGUGAUAGGAAUGUUACAACAUGUUCAAACUGUUACUUAAGUUUAUUAUUUUAGCAAUACUGCCACAUAUGAAGAGAUAUAAGGGAAGUGGUAAAUUAUAAUGAGGAAUAGUUAAUGUGACAGGACCCAAAAGUGUAUUUCAGUCCUUGUCCCUGGAGGUCUGUCAUGGUAGUUUUUGGAAGACAUCUAGUGAGUCACUGUUUUAUUUAGUUCAGUGGCCAUUAUAGCAAUGAUACUGAUUUUGUUUUAUAUGGCAGAUUUACGGGGCACAUGAAAAAUAGAAUUUGCAGGCUAGGGAUGUAGCUAAGUUGGUAGAGUGCUUACUUGUGGAGAGGCAAGUUCGAUCCCCAGCACCUCAUAAAGUGGGUUUAGUGGCUUGUGCCUGUAAUCCCAGCACUCAGGAGUGGGGAGGCAGGUGGACCCAAUAUUAUCCUGUGUUGCUAUUAAUAGCAAAGUCAAGGCCAGGUUGGGUUAUAUGAGACUAUGAGACUCUAUCAGAAAAAAAAAAUAAUAAUUAGGGG